AUUGAACGCUGGCGGCAGGCCUAACACAUGCAAGUCGAGCGGGGUUUUCGGACCUAGCGGCGGACGGGUGAGUAAUGCGUAGGAAGCUACCCGAUAGAGGGGGAUACCAGUUGGAAACGACUGUUAAUACCGCAUAAUGUCUACGGACCAAAGUGUGGGACCUUCGGGCCACAUGCUAUCGGAUGCGCCUACGUGGGAUUAGCUAGUUGGUGAGGUAAUAGCUCACCAAGGCGACGAUCCCUAGCUGGUUUGAGAGGAUGAUCAGCCACACUGGAACUGAGACACGGUCCAGACUCCUACGGGAGGCAGCAGUGGGGAAUAUUGGACAAUGGGCGCAAGCCUGAUCCAGCCAUGCCGCGUGUGUGGAGAAGGCCUUCGGGUUGUAAAGCACUUUCAGUUGGGAGGAAGGGUUGUGUGUUAAUAGUACACAGCCUUGACGUUACCAUCAGAAGAAGCACCGGCUAACUCUGUGCCAGCAGCCGCCGUAAUAC
rnacentral:rRNA from 1 species